GACGAACGCUGGCGGCGUGCUUAACACAUGCAAGUCGAACGGAGUGGCGAACGGGUGAGUAACACGUGGGUGACCUGCCCUGCACUUCGGGAUAAGCCUGGGAAACUGGGUUUAAUACCGGAUAGUGUGGGAUGGGGCCGCGGCCUAUCAGCUUGUUGGGGGGGUAAUGGCCUACCAAGGCGGCGACGGGUAGCCGGCCUGAGAGGGUGGACGGCCUCAAUGGUACUGAGGGACGGCCCAGACGCCUACGUGGGGCAGCAGGCGGGAAUAUUGCGCAAUCAGCGGGAGCCUGAGGCAGAGACCCCGCGUGGGGGAUGACGGCUUUCGGGUGGUAAACUCCUUUCACCAUCGACGCGGUAGAUGGAGAAGAAGCACCGGCUAACUACGUGCCAGCAGCCGCGGUAAUAC
rnacentral:rRNA from 1 species